AAAAGGUUGGAAAGAUUUUUGGCAAAAGAUCAGGACAAGUUCAAUCAAAACAGAUUUUCCCUUUUAAAAACUCUUGUCCUUCUCGGAUAUUCCAUUUUCCAACAAUCUAUUAAAGUUUUUUUUUUUUGAAAGAAACUGAUCAGUUAGAGAAAGAUUUAGAACUGAAACUCAAAACUCUUAACUGAAAUAACUGAUUUUAAAAGUAAGCUUUUAAAAUAC
rnacentral:lncRNA from 1 species